rnacentral:snRNA from 1 species
AGCUUUGCGCAGUGGCAGUAUCGUAGCCAAUGAGGUUUAUCCGAGGCGCGAUUAUUGCUAAUUAAAAAUCAAACUAAAAGCAGGGGACAUUUCCAGUUAAUGACAUACAUUAAAAAGU